GUGCUGAAGUAGAGGUAGUACAGCAUGGCUAGACUGUUGUGAGAGGCUCAGAGAAAGCAGAGGGUGAGAUGGAUGAGUCCAGCAUUCUAAGACGAAGAGGGCUCCAGAAGGAGCUGAGUCUCCCCAGAAGAGGAAGUUUGAUAGAUUCCCAGAAGUGGAAUUGCUUGGUCAAACGCAACUGAGCGAUUCUCUGACAGAACAUCGUGGAUUGAGAGGAAAUAAGAAUGGGUGUGCCUGCUUUAGGAUUACACAGUGCUGGACCUUUGAGGAAGGAGAAGCAGAGAUGGAUAGAAUUGUUGUGGCAGAACUGAGCUUGUAUACUUGGUCCUGUGGAGGGUAUCUACUCUUCUUCCAGCUGCGUAGGGUAAAUAAAGGUUUUUGUAAAGCUUC
rnacentral:lncRNA from 10 species